UGAUCAGGUAGGGACGGUAUCCAACCAGAAAGCCACGGCUAACUACGUGCCAGCAGCCGCGGUAAUACGUAGGUGGCAAGCGUUGUCCGGAUUUAUUGGGCGUAAAGCGAGCGCAGGCGGUUUCUUAAGUCUGAUGUGAAAGCCUUCGGCUCAACCGAAGAAGUGCAUCGGAAACUGGGAAACUUGAGUGCAGAAGAGGACAGUGGAACUCCAUGUGUAGCGGUGAAAUGCGUAGAUAUAUGGAAGAACACCAGUGGCGAAGGCGGCUGUCUGGUCUGUAACUGACGCUGAGGCUCGAAAGCAUGGGUAGCAAACAGGAUUAGAUACCCUGGUAGUCCAUGCCGUAAACGAUGAGUGCUAGGUGUUGGAGGGUCUCCGCCCUUCAGUGCCGCAGCUAACGCAUUAAGCACUCCGCCUGGGGAGUACGACCGCAAGGUUGAAACUCAAAGGAAUUGACGGGGGCCCGCACAAGCGGUGGAGCAUGUGGUUUAAUUAGAAGCAACGCGAAGAACCUUACCAGGUCUUGACAUCCUUUGACCACUCUAGAGAUAGAGCUUUCCCUUCGGGGACAAAGUGACAGGUGGUGCAUGGUUGUCGUCAGCUCGUGUCGUGAGAUGUUGGGUUAAGUCCCGCAACGAGCGCAACCCUUAUUACUAGUUGCCAGCAUUAAGUUGGGCACUCUAGUGAGACUGCCGGUGACAAACCGGAGGAAGGUGGGGACGACGUCAAAUCAUCAUGCCCCUUAUGACCUGGGCUACACACGUGCUACAAUGGAUGGUACAACGAGUUGCGAGACCGCGAGGUUUAGCUAAUCUCUUAAAACCAUUCUCAGUUCGGAUUGUAGGCUGCAACUCGCCUACAUGAAGCCGGAAUCGCUAGUAAUCGCGGAUCAGCAUGCCGCGGUGAAUACGUUCCCGGGCCUUGUACACACCGCCCGUCACACCAUGAGAGUUUGUAACACCCAAAG
rnacentral:rRNA from 1 species